ACUCACAGUGCCCUGGGAAUACAGGUUUGAUAUUUCCUACCAGGUAAAGAAAGCAAAAUAUCAAGACUUCGUCGACGAGGCCCUUGUCAACGGAUGGCAUGUGGCCUCAUUUCCUACUGAAGUCGGCUACUGUGGGUUUCCAUCUAGAUCAGUGUGCUAUUUUUUUUUUUUUUUACAGAAGAUAGGUCUGGAACCCAGACAAAUGAAGAGAGCCAUCAAAGAAAUAGACACGGCAGAUGAAACUAGCUGAAGAUGGCUUUGGUUGAUAAGAGAUCGCAAGUGGAACCCUUCUGUAAGAGAAAACUAGCUGAGUUCUUGCUGUCCCAUUCAGGUAAAGCGCACAGCAUAAGAUGCGAAACGCUUAUGACUCUGAGAUACUUGCUGACCAUACGGAAAGGUAUCUAGCAUUGUAAUGGAUUUAGAAGAGCUUGCAAAACCUCUGAAUACCUCCAGCACUUUCAGCACGGGGAAAAAAGCAUCUCCGAUAUUUAUUUCAUCUAUAAGAGGUAAGUUUAUAUAAGAGGAAGUAACUCUUUCCUUACAAAUUUUAACACGUGAAGCUGGUGUUGAAUUAAAAAAAGGAGAGAGCGAUAAAAAAUAUUCCGCCCGGAACUUUUCUGCAUCUGGCCGAUAAAAUACGAAACACUAUAAAGUUGCCAACUCAGUAAUGUGACGUGUAUUGUAAGAGAAACAUGGAGGGUACGCUUUUUAAGUGGACGAAUUAUUUAUCGGGUUGGCAACCUCGAUGGUUCAUUUUAGAAAAUGGUAUUUUAUCUUACUACAAAUCUCAAGAAGUAGUCAAUAGUGGCUGUAAAGGGUCAAUAAAGAUGACAGUAUGUGAUGUAGUUGUACACCCGUCAGAUUCCACACGGUUAGACUUGGUUAUUCCUGGAGAACAGCACUUCUACCUAAAAGCAGCUACACCUCAUGAACGCCAACAGUGGCUUAUUGCCCUUGGUACUUCAAAAGCUUGCUUGGCAAAUGGACAAUCCCCACAGAGUACAGGAGAAAUUUCCCCUGAUAUUGUCAAAACCAAAAAAUCAGAACUGAGAUUGUAUUGUGAUCUUCUGAUGAAGCAAGUCCAUUCUGUAAAACAAGCAAUCUCAAACCCAGAUGAAACUCCGGAUAUUCAGAAAUUGAAUGAUGCCACAUCUCUGUUGAGUGCGACCUGUGAUACCUUCAUACAAACCCUUGAAGACUGUAUGAGAAUUGCCAAUGCAACAAUAGCUUAUGAAGUGCCUAACCAAUAUGUAAUAAAUUCUUCCAUACCAAUUUCAUCUCCAACCAAAAGCAACUAUAAAUUGGCAACAAAGAAUAACAUUCGAAAAUCAAUAUCCUUAGACAGACCAAUUAUGAAAAAUGGUAUUCAAGACCAUAAAUCAAUGAAAUACUCAAAUAGUGACCAAUAUUUACAAAAGAAAUCUCCAAACAGAAUGGACAGUGUAACUUCAGAUUCUUCAGACUGUCAAAUAUCUGGCUGUGAAGACAACAGUUACCGUUCCCUUAGUUCUGAUACUAGAAUAAUGCCUGCCAUACCGUCAGAUCUGAGGCCCCAUCACAUAUCAGAUGAAAAUUUAGUCAUAAUGAAUUCCACAGAUACUUACUUUUCUUAUUUGACACACAGCUUUGCAACAUGUGUUCUUGAUAGUGCUGGUGAAGUCCCUGUUGAGCCAUUCCUUGAUUCAUGUAAAUCAAUUUUACCUAUAUUUGAUAAAUUGAAUAGUACAGCAUUUGCAACAGUGAAAAUGGAUUUUUCUAGCAACAUUCAGAAAAUUGAGAAGAAAUAUGCUACCAAUUCAGAAUUUACAACAUUACAGAAAAUGAUUACAUGGGAAUUAGAAGCCAAUGAACAACAUUUAUCAAAUUCUGUUGCAGUUGCUGUAUUAUGGAUGAAAAGGGCAUUAGAAUUUAUUCGAGAAUUCAUAUCUGAAAUCCACAAUGGCAAGGCUGAUUUGAGUGAAGCAACAACAGAAGCUUAUAAUAGAACCUUGAAACCUUUCCAUACAAGGUUUGCCCGUAGCAUAUUUGAUGUUGCUAUGAGAGCCAUUCCAACUCGUGAUAUGUUUCUAGCUCAAUUACAUUCUAUUAGCUAUCCAGUCCCAAAAGAGGAUAUUGACCGAAUACUUGACCAUCAUAUGGUAACAUUUAUAAAUUCUCUGAAACCAAUUAUUCAAUCCAUAAAUGACUUUUACUGUGCCAAUAAUCUUGAUUCAGAAGAACAAGUGUGAGCAGACUGAAAAGAACUAAAAAAAAACAAAACAAAACUAAAAAACACAACCACGAAUUGAUGAAAACAAAACACUUUUAAACAUCCUUUUAAACUGGAAAAAUAUAUACCUGUAUGUAUGUUUGUAUAUAUGUAUACAUGAUGUGUGCAUACCCUUAUGUGCAUAUGUAUAUAUAAGGAUUUACAGAUUUAUCUUUGUUCUCACUCUUUUGAGUUAGUGCAGCGAUAUUAUAAUGGACAAGUCUUGUUACAGCUUUUAUUUUCUUGUUUGCUUAUAAUUUUCUUUCUUUCAAUGUGAUACUGGAAAGAUUGAAUCUAUAAACCAAACCUUCUUGGUGGAUAACUUAUAUAUAUAUAUAUAUAUAUAUAAAGCCCAGUGAUAAAAUGGUGGUCCUCUGUAAUAAGUAUUCAUUUGUAUAAUUUCUUUUUUUUUUCUUUUUCUGAGUUUGAAAGAUUUUAUUUAUUUUUUUCUGAAUGGCUCUGAUUGUGUUGAAAGUAUGCCCUGCACUAUAAGGAAGUAUAUAUGUGAAAUAUCUAAGGGUGCAUCAUCCAUAGAUUAGGAAGUCCUUGCCAUUGAAUAUAAAUUAUCAAUCAUUUGUAUCUUGGAAAAUAUACUAAAGCUUCUAGUCCUUUCAAGAAUAUCUUAUCACAUUCCAAACAACUUUCUAGAAAAUCCUGAUUGUACAAAUAUACUCCUUCCCAAUUUACAACUUUGCUGGAAUUGUAAUAGUUAAGGCAAAAUAGUUUGACAUUUUCAUUCUGACAUUUAUUGUCUAAGGAAAAGUCUAUUGAUUUUGUACUGUUUAUGAUAUUAAACAGAUAUAGUAGAUAUCUUUUGCCUUUCAAAAGAGUUCUGAAAAAUUUUCUCUACCACACUAGAAACUUACGUUGUGCAUUCCCAACCUAUUGUGGGUAUGUUUUCAUUUUUUUAAUGCUUCAUUCUUUUUAUAUUUCCAAUAUUCUUUUAAAUUUAGAUAUACUUUAUGUAUCAUAAUUUAAGUAUACAUAUUAGUAGAAUACUAAAUAAAUUUCAUCAAAAAUUAUUUUACUUUUCAAUAAAAUUUAUAGUCACCAAAUUCUAUAGUUAGCUGUUAACUUUUCUCUUUUUAACUACUGCAUCAAUCCUAAAGGGUCAUAGAUAUUACAUAAAUUUAUAUUCAUUACUUCAAUCAUAAUAUCCUAAGCUGGGAAUAUUUUAGCAUGAAAUAUCAGAUCAUGACAUCAAAUCUUAGUCUUGAAUCAAUAGCCUAACUAUUUCAAUGGUACAUAUGAAUUGCUUGAUGUACUUCUUAUUCUUUUCACAGAAUUAGAUAGAAAAACCUCCAACUGCAUUUGCAAAUGUAAUAUAUUAAUUGCCUGCUUAUUUAUCAAUGUUUUAAUCAUUCAAAAUUUUGAUUUCUGAAAUAUUAAACAAAAAAUUCAGAUUUCAUGUGACAUUUUUCAUUUCUAAGAUGAGUUGCUAUUUGAAAUAUUUUUAUAUAAAGUUUUACAUUAAAAAUAUUUUUUUAGAAAACCUAAAGAUUUUAUUGUUUCCCUUGUUUUAAUCUUUGUCGUCUCCUCACCUUCCUUGAAAUAUAUUUUGUCUAUUUUCUUUUUCACAUGUCUAGAUCCCUUUAGUUUCCUUUCUCACUUUGCCCUUCAUCAUGAACAAAUUAAAAUUUUUUCCCUAUUAAGUUUAUCAGAACAUUUUGUCAUAGUAUUAUAUUUCUGCACCUUUCCUUGGCUCUGUCUUUAUGAACAAAGUUUUUAUUAUUUAUCAAACAAUAAUUGAAAGCAAAAGAACAAUAAAUUAUAUGAACUGUUAAUUGCUGUGUAGACUUUGACUCCUGUUAAUUAAUAAUCAACUACUUUGUGAAUAAUAAUUUUAUUCUCCAUAUGAGUUUUGUGGAUGUUGGAGAAUUAAUCAAUUUUCUAAAGAUUUGUCUUCCAUCCUUAUAAAUCAGAAUUGAUUCUCAAACAUUUAUCCAGAAUUCUAAUUCAGAAGAGAAACUAGAAUUUCAAAUUAGGUGAAAGCUGUUUCACCUAAGUAGUUUUGAAAUUAUCAAGUAUGGUUUCAGUCUGGUUUGUUGACUUAAAAACAAUGUCAAAAUGUAGUUUUGGGAAAAAUGUAUUCCAAAAUUAUUGACACAGGCUGGAUGUCUUCCAUAUUCUCGUGUUUGUUCUUUCAGCUAAUAUCAACUUAAAUAGUGAAAUAACUAUAUCAUUUGUAGUAAGAAAACUUUCUUUAUAUUAUGAAAGUAACUAUUAAAACAAAAACCCAGACAUAUGUUUUAUUAUUUUUUUUGUAGCAUUUGCUGUUGAAAUAACAGAAAUAAUUAAAAUCUUAAUGAAAACUGAAGACUCAUAGCAUUUCUUUUUUAAAUCCCUAAGAAUAUGCAGAGAUUGCAUCAAAAUAUUGCAUGUGAAAUGGACGUUAAAUGAUGAUAAUGUAGUCAGCUUAUAACUUUGUGUUGAGUUUGGCAGCCAAAGUUUAAUUUGUUGAAAGGACUUGCUCAUAUUAGAAAAAAACAAAAGUUAAUCUACAGUGGGUCUGAUGAUAAAUUACGUAUCCCAUUAAUUACAGAAUUUUUGUAACACUGUUCUGUUAUCUUUCAAACAACCUUAGGUUGCUGCUAUUCAAGGGAAUAUUGAGAUUUACGUACAUCUGCCCUUAAAAACAUAACUAGUACUUAGAAGAUUCUUUUGGGAUUCUCAGCCAUACUGUUGUCUCUUGCUUGAAGAGGUUGGGAGGCACCAAAGUUAUCCUAAGCGAGAUCUGAAUUUAAAAUGUAAAGUUCUGGAGCUAAAUAGGUACUCUAGUCAACUCAUUUGACUAAAAUUCUUCAAGAAGGUACCUAAACAUGGCUGCUGUCUAAUGACUGAAACAAGUACGAUAAAUACCAGAAGGUAUUUUGUCUGAUAUUCUCUUGAUUCUGCCAAUUCACUGCCUAAUAGUUAUGUACUGUGAGAAUAGGUAAUUCUAUACAAAGUAAUAGAAACAAGACUGAAACAUGUUAUCAAAUUGUGAUAAAGUGUAUGUAACCCAUCUGAAGUACUGUACCCCAUGAUACAGAUUUAAUUUUCUUUUCUUUCUAACAGCAAAUCGUAAUUUUAUUUAAUUGAUCUUUUCAUUAGAAAAUAUUUAAAUGAUUGAUCAGCUUAAGUGUAUUCAGUAUUUGCUAUUUUAACCCUUUAGCAUUCAGAUUACUCUGUUAAAUGUAAUUCUUAUUUAUUCACAUUGUUUUGAAUUAAUCAUACAUUAUCUUGAAGCCUCAAAAUUUCAAUAUAAUUGUUUAUUUUUGCACUGAAGGGUAUGUGUGAGAGGCAAGACAUGGCCAGUUUGAAUACAAAACAGGUAGAAUAUUUUGGCUGGAUAUGGCUGGUUCAAAUGCUAAAGGAUUAAUUUUAAGUUAAUAUGUUGGACAUAUGAUCUGGAAUAAUGAAUAAAUUUUUAGUUGUUUUAAAUCUCUCAAGUAUUACUUGUCAGCCUCUUAUGAUUUUUGCUAGAUAAAAUAACCAAUGCUCAGAAACAAAAGGAAUUUGAAAUGAUUUAGUCGUAACAAUAAUCAUAAGUUUUUGGCUGGCUAAAACAAUUUUUCUCAACCAUUUCCUAAUCAAACUAAAGGGCUACAAUAAGUUAAUGAAUUCACAUACAGCUUUUUUGAAAAUAGAUUAUAUAAAUAUAUAAUUGUAUCAAGGACCUAUAAAUCCUUUAAGAGAUGCUAGCAUCCUAGUUCUUCUCAUUUACUCAUAUAUAUAUAUAUAUAUAUAUAUAUAUAUAUAUAUAAAUAACUCCUGUAAGAACAAAGAAAGAUAUUUUCUUAGUAUGUAUUACUUUAUUCAUUAACUUUUGGUCUAUGAAGUUUAGUAGAAUUGUCAAACAAAGCUCUUUUUUUAAUUGUUCUGCACAGAUUUGCUUAGUGAAUUCAGUGGGAAGGCUGCAAAGAUUAUAUUUAUAGGCAGGAAUAGUAAAAAGAAAAGAUUCCAAAUGGCAGUCAGUUAGGUUGAGGAGAUUUAAGUUACAUAAUCACAAAUCGCAGCCAAUAAUGUGGUUCAAGCUAACAGUGAAGCAUCAUAUUGUGUGUAUCAUACAUGUAUUUUGAAAAGGUCUGUUUUAGAAACGUUCAUGAUGUCAGUAUUGUUUGAAAUGUGCUUUAGGAGCCAUUGUUUUCCUUCUACUUCAUGUGUAGCUACUAAUUACACAUGGAAAAUGUGUAGUACUAACUCAAAUAUUUCAAACAAGCAUGGAAAAAUCAGUAUUAUGUUGAUGAAGUGUCAAUGUUACACUUAUGUACGAUUUCUUUUUUCCUUGCCUGAGAGUAUUGUAUUCUGUUCCAUUUGAUUCUUUAAUUUUCCCCACAUUAUGGCUUUAUAAUGUUUUGUCUUUUCAAGGAGGUGCACAAUGUAUUUUUCUAAUUUGAUUUUCAUCUUGCAUCCUUGCACAAUCAGUGAGAGGUUGUCCAUAAAUUCAACUUUUCUAUAGAAUACCACUGUUCAGUCUUUCCGAGUCUGACUUCAAACAGUUGUAGUAUUUUGUAAAUGCUAUUUGUUCAGUCAUUCAAAUGUGUGUAAUUGUAUAUAUGCUAAUUGUAUGUUGGUGUUUGUAUAUACAGAAGUAUGUAGGUGUACAUAGUAAUGCCCUAUCUUUAUGAUAUUCCUUUUCAAUGUAAAAGAAAUAUAACAAAAAUGCUAAGUUAUGACCCAUGUAUGUAUGUAUUAUUUUGGAUAAUGGUUAACAUUGGCUUUAUUUAUUCAAUAACUUUAAGUUGUAUUCUGUCUGGAAACUUUUGUCUAUCUACAACUUGCAGUCAAUAUUUGAAGGUUGGAGAGGAGCAGUUAAAUUUAAGGAAAAAUAAGAAAUAGCCCAUCUUCAGCUGCUUAAAUAUAGACCUUAAGAGUUGCAGCAUUAUAUAUUGUAGCAACCUGAAAUUUUUCACUAUAUUCAUUAACAGACUUUUAUCUUCAAGAAAAGAAAAAAAAAAUGCAUGCGAGAUAAUUUUUAAAGAUUUUUUUUCUUUUGAUAAUAGAAAAAAAAAUCUUUAUUUUUGGUUGACUUUUAAGGUUAGCCUAUUAUUUUUGUAUGAUUAUGAAUUAAUGGUACUGAUAUAUAUGUGACAUUGCUUACUGUAAAUGUCUUUGACUUCUGUACUUGAUGGUAAUGAUUUGUUAUAUUGACAUAAGACUACAGACGAAAGAUAAGCAGUUUGAGAUGAUUCUUUGACUGGUAUUUGUUGACAUGGGUGGGAUGAAAGGUAGUCAAUCCUUGAUGGUAAUUGAACUCAAAACUGCAGAAACAAAGCUAAAUACUGUUAGGCACUUAGAUGCCAUUUUGCCAUUCCAUUGCUUUUUUUCAUUUUUUUUUUUAAUUGUUUUUUUCCAAGAAAAUCUUUUCAUGUAAGAAGACUAGAGCUUUAACAUGGAGUCAACGUUUUCACUUUCUUUACAUAUCAGGCAUUUCUAAUUUCUCUUACACAUGACUACUACUUUCACAUUUUCACUGGGGUUUAUUUCAUUACAUUUUUUUUUUUUGUUAUUAGGUUCUAAGCCGGUCAGCAGAAGUAGCAAAUGCAUAUUAUAUUUUAUCCUAAAAUAAUCAAGUUUGACUUUAGAGAAUUCAUGUCUACUUAGGCAUUUUUUCAUAAAUAAAUAAUUUCUCACUUAGUUAAAGAUAUUUCUUGAAUUCAUUAUUUUGCUUUCAAUUCUAUGUUGUAUAGAGUAGUAAUUCAAGCUCUUUAUAUGAAUGUGAUUUCCCAUCAUAUUGAUCCUUUUAAAACAUAAUAUUUCUCUCUCUAUAGAUCUCUUUUUUUCUUUCUUAAUUUUUUUUUCAAACCAGCAAAAUGUUUCUUAUAUAUGGUGAGUGUAAUAGCAUAUGCAACAAAUUUAUCUUUUCAUUUUAUUUAACUUAAACCCCUCCAAGUUUUACUUGUUUCAGCCAUAGUCUUUGGCACCACCAUAGUAUAAGAAAAGCUAAAUAAAAUUUGAUGUACAAAAUAGUUUGUGUGUGUGUGUGUGUGUGUGUGGUGUGUGUGUGUGUGUGUGUGUAUAUGUAUGUAUGUAUGUAUGUAAGUACGUAUGUAUGAGAGAGAGAGAGAGAGUAUAGAAUGUAAUGGUUAAUUUCCUUUCAGAGGAAAGGAAAUGGAAAAAAAAAAGGAAUUUUUGUCAAAUUGUAAAUAAACUACGUUGUGGCUUUAUGUUAAAGCCCUUGUUUCUGAGUUGAACUUUUGCUUGUAGUGGGAGAAACUUUGUCCACUAUGGUGAAGCAAACUACUAUGUGUGUGUGUAUGUAUAUAUAUAUAUAUAUUUCAUAUUGUAGUUACUUCUUUGGAAAUGUGCUUCCUUAGCUGAAAUUUUUUUUUGUAUUAAAAAAAAAAGUCAGUUUCACUAAUUCAAUUACGCAUACACACACACACACACACACACUUUUCACCUUGUACAUAAAAUAUUUCAUUAAUAAUAAUAAUGAUUGUAUUAUAUUAUUUAGCAAGCACCAUAAGGUAAGCUCCUAGUGGGCAGUCCUUGACCUGAUUUUGAUUCUUAAUUGUAACCAUUUUACUCCAGUUUUGCCACUAAUGCCUUGAGCAGGCAUGAAUGUCAUAACUUCCCAUCUCUCCAUUCUUAAAAAUAUUGGGCUUCAUGUUUAUGUAAAUGUACAAUUAUAUGAUUUUGUUGGAAAAGCUAACCACUUUUCCUGGAUUCAAAUGGAUUGACUGUAUAUAAAAUAAAUGAACAUUUUUUUUUUUAAACUCAUUUAGACUGACUGGUAUGUUUGCCUGUAAAAUCUGAUUUCAUGGCAAAAGCCCUACAUAAUUAAAACUGAGAAACAAACUGUUAA
rnacentral:misc_RNA from 1 species